AGUGGCGAACGGGUGUAGUAACACGUAGUAUCUGCCCUGAGUCUGGAACAACCUGGAAAAUUCAGGCUAAUACCGGAUGGCAUGGUGAGGAGGGAUCUUCAUCAUUAAAGAUAUAUUGCUCGGGGAUGAGCCCUGCGGCUGAUUAGCUAGAUGGUAAGGUAACGGCUUACCAUGGCUACGAUGGGUAGGGGUCCUGAGAGGGAGAUCCCCCACACUGGUACUGAGACACGGACCAGACUCCUACGGGAGGCAGCAGUGAGGAAUAUUGGACAAUGGGCGCAAGCCUGAUCCAGCCAUGCCGCGUGCAGGAUGACGGUCCUAUGGAUUGUAAACUGCUUUUACACAGGAAGAAACAACGCUACGUGUAGCGUCUUGACGGUACUGUGAAGAAUAAGGAUCGGCUAACUCCGUGCCACAGCCGCGGUAAUACGGAGGAUCCAAGCGUUAUCCGGAAUCAUUGGGUUUAAGGGUCCGUAGGCGGUUUAGUAAGUCAGUGGUGAAAGCCCAUCGGCUCCAACGGGUGGGAACGGGGCCAUUUGAUACUUGGUUAGACUUGAAUUUAUUAGGGAAGGUAACCUAGAAAUAUGUAGUUGUACGCGG
rnacentral:rRNA from 1 species